GGGUCGUUAGCUCAGUUGGUAGAGCAGCGGACUUUUAAUCNNUAAUCCGUUGGUCCCGCGUUCGAGUCGCGGACGACCCACCA
rnacentral:tRNA from 1 species